UACGGAGGGUGCAAACGUUGCUCGGAAUCAUUGGGCGUAAAGCGCACGUAGGCGGCUCGUUAAGUCGGAUGUGAAAGCCCUGGGCUCAACCCAGGAAGUGCAUACGAAACUGGCGAGCUUGAGUAUGGAAGAGGGUCGCGGAAUUCCCGGUGUAGAGGUGAAAUUCGUAGAUAUUAGGAAGAACACCAGUGGCGAAGGCGGCUUACUGGUCCGGAACUGACGCUGAGGUGCGAAAGCGUGGGGAGCAAACAGG
rnacentral:rRNA from 1 species